GCCCAUAGCUCAGGGGUAGAGCAUCUGCUUUGCAUGUAGAAGAUCCCAGGUUCAAUCCCAGCAUCUCCAGGUAAGGCU
rnacentral:tRNA from 1 species